UACAGAGGUCCCAAGCGUUGUUCGGAUUCACUGGGCGUAAAGGGUGCGUAGGUGGCUUGGUAAGUUUGAUGUGAAAUCUCCGGGCUUAACCCGGAAAUGGCAUUGAAUACUACUGAGCUGGAGGUUUGGAGGGGGGACUGGAAUUCUCGGUGUAGCAGUGAAAUGCGUAGAUAUCGAGAGGAACACCAGUGGCGAAGGCGAGUCCCUGGACAACACCUGACACUGAGGCACGAAAGCUAGGGGAGCAAACAGG
rnacentral:rRNA from 1 species